ACAGCAGUAGCCGCGGUAACACGGAGGGGGCUAGCGUUGUUCGGAAUUACUGGGCGUAAAGCGCACGUAGGCGGCUUGGUAAGUUAGAGGUGAAAGCCUGGAGCUCAACUCCAGAAUUGCCUUUAAGACUGCCGAGCUAGCAGGUGAGAGAGGUAAGUGGAAUUCCGAGUGUAGAGGUGAAAUUCGUAGAUAUUCGGAAGAACACCAGUGGCGAAGGCGGCUUACUGGCUCAUACUGGACGCUGAGGCACGAAAGCUAGGGGAGCAAACAGGAUUAGAUACCCCCGUAGUCCCUGUCUCUUAUAC
rnacentral:rRNA from 1 species